rnacentral:misc_RNA from 1 species
UCAUAACACUUUCAAUUAUAACUAAACAUAAGGCCACAUACUUCAUAACAACAUAUAAGGACUCUUUUCUUUACUACAAUCUUAGUCAUAAACCAUUUAGUUCAUAACACUUUCAAUUAUAACUAAACAUAAGGCCACAUACUUCAUAACAACAUAUAAGGACUCUUUUCUUUACUACAAUCUUAGUCAUAAACCAUUUAGUUCAUAUCAUAGGUAAACCACCCUCAUAACCCCUUUAGAAGCUUACUUACAUAAUGUACACAUGGAGUCUCAUACCCCCACAUAUACUAUGUUAACUAACUUAGAA